UACGUAGGGUGCGAGCGUUAAUCGGAAUUACUGGGCGUAAAGCGUGCGCAGGCGGUCUGUUAAGACCGAUGUGAAAUCCCCGGGCUUAACCUGGGAACUGCAUUGGUGACUGGCAGGCUUUGAGUGUGGCAGAGGGAGGUAGAAUUCCACGUGUAGCAGUGAAAUGCGUAGAGAUGUGGAGGAAUACCGAUGGCGAAGGCAGCCUCCUGGACCAACACUGACGCUCAUGCACGAAAGCGUGGGGAGCAAACAGG
rnacentral:rRNA from 1 species